AAAAGAAAAUAAAGAUUUUCUCAUAUAAUAGCAGAAAUAGGGUCUGGAAGUUUCUACUUAGACUAUCAUAAAUAGUCUAACUAUGAGCAACAAUAUUUUGGAC
rnacentral:ncRNA from 2 species